AUGCUCACUUUGGUAGCACAUAUACUAAAAGUAAAACAAUACAGAAAAUAUUAGCAUGGCCCUGUGUAAGGCAGACAAAGUCAUGUAGCAUUUUAUAUGUCU
ensembl:snRNA U6 U6 spliceosomal RNA